rnacentral:rRNA from 1 species
CGCUGGCGGCGUGCUUAACACAUGCAAGUCGAACGAUGAACCGCUUUCGGGCGGGGAUUAGUGGCGAACGGGUGAGUAACACGUGGGCAAUCUGCCCUGCACUCUGGGACAAGCCCUGGAAACGGGGUCUAAUACCGGAUAUGACUGUCCGCCGCAUGGUGGAUGGUGUAAAGCUCCGGCGGUGCAGGAUGAGCCCGCGGCCUAUCAGCUUGUUGGUGAGGUAGUGGCUCACCAAGGCGACGACGGGUAGCCGGCCUGAGAGGGCGACCGGCCACACUGGGACUGAGACACGGCCCAGACUCCUACGGGAGGCAGCAGUGGGGAAUAUUGCACAAUGGGCGAAAGCCUGAUGCAGCGACGCCGCGUGAGGGAUGACGGCCUUCGGGUUGUAAACCUCUUUCAGCAGGGAAGAAGCGAGAGUGACGGUACCUGCAGAAGAAGCGCCGGCUAACUACGUGCCAGCAGCCGCGGUAAUACGUAGGGCGCAAGCGUUGUCCGGAAUUAUUGGGCGUAAAGAGCUCGUAGGCGGCUUGUCACGUCGGUUGUGAAAGCCCGGGGCUUAACCCCGGGUCUGCAGUCGAUACGGGCAGGCUAGAGUUCGGUAGGGGAGAUCGGAAUUCCUGGUGUAGCGGUGAAAUGCGCAGAUAUCAGGAGGAACACCGGUGGCGAAGGCGGAUCUCUGGGCCGAUACUGACGCUGAGGAGCGAAAGCGUGGGGAGCGAACAGGAUUAGAUACCCUGGUAGUCCACGCCGUAAACGGUGGGCACUAGGUGUGGGCAACAUUCCACGUUGUCCGUGCCGCAGCUAACGCAUUAAGUGCCCCGC